rnacentral:lncRNA from 1 species
UAACUAUGAUUUAACUGUCUAAUGAAUUGCAAUAUUAAUCCUCCAUCUGGGAACUUGUACCGUUGUCGAGAAAGAAAAUAGGUAAAAAGGAUUCUUCCAUUUUUUUUAAUUGUAAAAUUGAAUAAAUUGAUUUCUUUUAAAAAAAAUCGGAGUAAUUUAAUUCUUGUUAAUUUUGGAAGUAAGUAAUUAAGAAUAAUUAAUCAUGAUGUUAAUGUUUUCCUUUAACUGUACAUAAUUUUGAUUAGUAUAAUAAUAAAUUUAACUUUUAAAGUUUACACAUUUUGUCAAUUUGGUCCUAAUUUAUCAAAUUUAUUCCAUGAUUUUUAUGUAAACAUGUAAAUGUUGAGGCUAAGUUUGAUGAAUUUUUAGAAUUAAGAUUAAAAUGAAAAAAAUAUGUAAAUAUUGAAGGUUAAAUUUAUUGUUCUACCAAUCAAAAUUAGUACAAUUGACAGAAGACGUUAACAUGAUAAUUACAUUUUUUAGUUGUUCACUUUUAAAAUUGAUACUGAUUAAAUUGCUUUAAAAUUUUUAAGGUGAGUAGAGAUGUGUUUUUAGCAAGAGAAUAUAAAGUUUGAAGUUUCUGGAAAUGGGUUUCAAAGAUGCGUUGAAUGCUUCCGCAGGCAGCCAUGGAUUCUUCUAGGAAAUGAAAGAAAAUACAAAGCAAUUAUAUUUAAGUUGGAGUUUUUCAACUAGAUUUGUAAUUUUGUGCUAAUUUUUUCUAUAAUAAUUUUUUGGGCUAAUGUUAGGUAAUGAAAUAAUUGUUGUUUGUCUAGUUAUGUAGUUUGGGUGUUGGUGUUCAUUUUUUUUUCUUUUCUUUUGGUCUUCAUGUUUGUUGAGGAAUCAAAUAAAAGAUUUGGA